AGAGCUGGUAGACUAUGGAACACAGGCUUGAGAGUCUGGCCUAUGUCACAUAGUCCACUAGCUCU
rfam:Erinaceus europaeus unplaced genomic scaffold scaffold00087, whole genome shotgun sequence